GCUCUAAGGCCUACCACCUUCAGAAGUCGACCUGUGGCAAAUGUGGCUACCCUGCCAAGCGCAAGAGAAAGUAUAACUGGAGUGCCAAGGCUAAAAGACGAAAUACCACCGGAACUGGUCGAAUGAGGCACCUAAAAAUUGUAUACCGCAGAUUCAGGCAUGGAUUCCGUGAAGGAACAACACCUAAACCCAAGAGGGCAGCUGUUGCAGCAUCCAGUUCAUCUUAAGAAUGUCAACGAUUAGUCAUGCAAUAAAUGUUCUGGUUUUAAAAAAUACAUAUCUGGUUUUGGAGUUUGGAUCAUAAUACAAGAGAAGCACAGGGCAAAGACACUGCAUAACCUCAAGAACUAAGAAUGGAAGGACUGGCCAGGCCUGGUGGUGCACACCUGUAAUCCCAGCUACUCAGGAGGCUGAGGCGAGAGAAUCGCUUGAGCCUGGGGGGCAGAGGUUGCAGUGAGCUGAGAGAACGGCGGGCGGCAGAGCGAGACUCCAUCUCAAAAAAAAAAAAGGAUAAAGGAAGGACUUAAGCAAAAUCUUCCUUGUAAGUAGAAGGAUGUUUUGACAAGAAAAGUUGCAAUGGAAAAAUGGUUCUCAUGUACACGAGUAUGUAGAAUAAGCAUCGUGUGUGGAUUGGAUUCAGAUCAAAACAUUGCUUUUAUGUUUGUGUCUUUAUACGGUGGGAGUAUACCCUGGUGCCCCAGGAUGAAGACUUGACCUGACCCAUGUAUUUUUAGAUUACUCACAGAUAACAAAAAGUAUUUUCAUCAUGAUUAGUUGCGAAAACAGUUUUAUUUCAAUAGGUAAAACGUGCAGUCCUAUGUAAUCGUCAGAAGGUAAUCUUAAUUAUAGCUUGGGUGUGCUUUAAACUGCAAGCUGGCAGUGGAGGGCACGAUUCCUCUGAUUUCAGCUUUCUCCUUAUACUUUUCUGGAGCUGUGAGCUGCAAGUUAACUCAGUGGGAUUAAAGUGUAGACUGGAGGUACAAAAGGUGAGGAGUGAGGAGAUAGGGUAGUUCUUCCUUGGCUGGCUGGCUUCAUAAUCCCUGGGCCCCGCAGAUAAUUAAAUCGACUUUUUCUGUCUCAGGCAUUUGUAUGACCUCUUUGGAGGUUCCCUGCUGGGUAGUUAUCCUUGUAUCUGAUGGACCCAUCUCAAUUUAAAAUACUCUGCCAGGUUCGGAGGUUCAUGCUUGUCAUCCCAGCACUUUGGGAGGCUCAGAGGUGCCAUUGGCUUGAGCCCAAGAGUUUGAGACCAGCCUGGGCAACCUGGUGAAACCUCUUCUCCAUUAAAAAUACAAAAAAUUAGCCAGGCAUGGUGGUAUGUGCCUGUAGUCCCAGCUACUCAGGGAGCUGAGGUGGAAGGAUUGCUUGAGCCUGGGAGGUCAAGGCUGCAGUGAACCUUGAUUGUGCCACUGCACUCCAGCCUGGAUGACAAAGACCCUGUCUCAAGAAAAGUCUGUAAUUCUUUCCUAACCCUUAGUAUCCAGCCUCAGUCCUGAGGUUUUCUUUACCUCUGGGGGCUAUUUUAUGCCGGCUCUCUCCUGAGUGUCACACAUCUGGUCCUCAGGAAACAUUCUCACAUCCCUGGCCUGAAAAAAACAAUUUCAGGGAGAUCGCAUGGCAGCAGCCCUCUCUGGGCUCCCCAGCUAAAUGGUUGUACGAAACACAUUUCAAAGCUCUCUGAAGGGCUUCCUUGAAGUUCCUUUCACUGGGUUUCAAAGUAGAAGGUAGUAACUCCUUUGUCCAAGAAGGCUGAAUUGAGCACUUAACAAUUCUCCAAAGAAAUUUCUUCAUUGGUCUCUAUCCUAGACCCCUUCUGUAUCCUUGAUAUGGCUGAGGAUUCUAAAAAAUGACCAGUCUUACAUGGG
rnacentral:lncRNA from 1 species